UACGUAGGUGACCAGCGUUGUCCGGAUUUACUGGGCGUAAAGAGCGCGCAGGCGGUCGUUCAAGUCGAGUGUGAAAGCCCCCGGCUCAACUGGGGAGGGUCAUUCGAUACUGAUCGACUUGAAGGCAGGAGAGGGAAGUGGAAUUCCCGGUGUAGUGGUGAAAUGCGUAGAUAUCGGGAAGAACACCAAUGGCGAAAGCAGUCUGCUGGGCUUAUCCUGACACUGAGACACGAAAGCGUGGGGAGCGAACGGG
rnacentral:rRNA from 1 species